CAACUCAAUGGACCAAACCAGCAUACACAUACAUUCAAAGAGAGAGAUAUGGCAAUGCACUUCUAUACCAACAUCUUCCUUUUGGCUUUCUUUGCCAUUACUGGGAUUCUCUUUCCCAGUGACAACAACAUGGUUGUUGGCCAAGGUUGUAAAGCUGAUGUGGUGAAUUUGGUAAACAACUGUGGUAUGCACUUGAUAUGAACAAAGUGGUCUUUGUAGCAAAGUUCUGUGGCAGGCCACUGCCCCCUGGGUCUAAGUGUGGAGCGUACAAUGUCCCACCAGCAGCAUAUCUUGGAUGAAGAGACCGCUUGCAAAUCUAUAAAUUGCGACUUUUGUAAUGUUACGGGUGAAAAAAUGGCAUAAAUUUGGAUAUCAUUUGCUACAAUGUUGUAUCAUUAAAAUUUUCUACCGUGACUAAUGAGAAUAG